rnacentral:lncRNA from 1 species
CUCUCAGACACCACAGUCCAGGAGAGUCUGACAAGGUGGCUUUAUUCCUGAAACUCAGGGACCUGAUCCAACGCGCUGGAAAUUGUGUUUCUUUUCCCAGCUCAGGCUAUUCACCUCAGGCCCCUGUUUUCCUGUCUCCUCCCCAGGAAGGUUGUGAUAAAAAUCAAUGACAUCAUGUCUCACUGGGCCCCAGCCACCCUUCAGGAAGCAGGUGCUUUGGCUGAGUGGAGGCUGGGGCAUUUUUCUGCUGCGCUGGCCUGCAUCUGCCUUUCGAGUAGCCCUAGAGGCCUAACGCUUGAGGUCACCUUCAUGGUUUUUCCAGUGACCUUGGCCAUUAAUGAGCUCCCACCGCUUCCCCAGCUGCAGCUGUAUUAUAGCGCCAGAGUCUUCCAAGCCUGCAGGUUGUGCCAAGCCUGGAGGGAUUUGCAAAAGAAACAUUUGCCUACACCAAGAUCAUGAAGAUGUUUUCUUCUAGAGGAUUUCUAGUUUUAGCUCUUUAUGUUUAAAUUGAGGGAAACUAAAUGUAUGGCCUUAAGGAGCUGUUCCAGCCUGAGACUAUACACCAGCAGAAAGAAACUCACAGCACUGAAAAUAUUGUUCUCCGCCCUCCCUCAUCCCUCUUCCUUCUGAAUGGGAAAAAAGAGUAAGAAGCUUUUCCCUCCAGCUGAAAGCAAAGGAGUACUCUAGCCCUCUGUGAUAGCUGAUGGCAGCAUCUUUGGUGGCUCUCCCAGAGAGGCUGCUCUCUUUGCUGGAAUUUGCCUUGUUCUCUCCUCACUGCUGAAGCACUGUCACUGCGUCCUAAAAAAACACCACAGUAUCCGUAAGACGUUGCCUGUCAUUGGAGGUUUGCUCCUUCUCUCUAUCUCAGACAGGAUUCAAUGAAGAAAACAGAAGCCACUCAGCGCAAGAACAGACUCAUACAGGAUCACUGCAUGUGGAAUCAGGUAAGACAAGGUCAUACUGGAGUAGGAAAGGGGUUAAUCCAAUAUGACUGGUGUCCUUAAAAAAUGGGAAAUUCAUCGAGGGCAGAUUGGAUAAAGGAAAUGUUGUACAUAUACACUAUGGAAUACUUCACAGCUAUAAAAAAGGAGAAGAUUAUGUCCUUUGCAGGUACAGGAAUGGAGCUAGAGGUCAUCAUCCUUAGCAAACUAAUGCAGGAACAGAAAACCAAAUGCCACAUGUUCUCACUUAUAAGUUGAAGGUAAAUAAUGAGAACACGUGGACACAUAGAGGGGAAUAGCACACACUGGGGCCUACUUGAGGGUAGAAGGUGGGAGGAAGGAGAGGAUCAGAAAAAACGAUUGGUUACUAGGCUUACUACCUGGUUGAUGAAAUAAUCUGUACAGCAAACCCCAGUAUCAAGAGUUUACCUAUAUAACAAAACUGCACAUGUACCCCUGAACCUAAAAUAAAAGCUUUUUAUAAAAAGAAAAGAAAAAGGGCUGGGCAUGAUGGCUCACACCUGUAAUCCCAGGACUUUAGGACACCCAGGUGGGUGGACUGCUAAGCUCAGGAGUUCAAGACCAGCCUAGGCAACAUUGCGAAACCCCGUCUCUACAAAAAUUAGCCAGGCAUGGUGGCAUGUACCUGAAGUCCCAUCUACUUGCAGGGCUGAGGCCAGAGGAUCGCUUGAACCCAGGAGGUGGAGAUUGUAGUGAGUUGUAUUUGUGCCACUGCACUCCAGCCUCGUUGACAGAGCAAGGGCAAGACCUUUUCUUUAAAAAAAAAAAAAGAAAGAAAGAAAAGAAAAAGAAAAGACAAGAAAAGAAAAGAAAAGGAUAUAAUCAGCCAAAUUCAAAAUGUGUGAAAUGCUACAAGCUUCCAGGACUGUGAAACAAGACAUUUCUUUGGUUCAAGCCACUCCCUUAGUGCACAUUGUUAUGGCAGCCAUGGAAAACCAUCCACAGAGGCAUUCUGUUCCAUCCCUGUCACUUCGAUGUCUCUCUUUCUUGAAUAUGGAAGCAGCCCUGGGCCCAGCUGCUGCAGGUGGCCAGGAAGGAGCCUGGGAGGAUGACGGGGUUCCUGAUCUGAUAGAACUGGGCUGUGACUAGGCAGAACCCUGUUCCACCACACACACCCCAGUGGAGGACGUUCUGUAUCUGUGAUGAAUGACCCCUGCAUACAUUAUAUCUUUCAGUAAAAACAGUGGUGUUUCAGUAGUGUUACUAGCUAAGCUGCUUAACUCUCACAUUACAGACGUCAGUGAAGCCCCUUGGUAGGUAGUGUCUAAAAUUAGAUUUAUCUGCUUAUUUACACAAUUAUACUCUCAUGAGUUUGAAUGUUGGGGAAAGAUCAAGAAAAAGACCAGAUCACUAGAUGGCAAUAGCACACAAGAGCUUUAUUUGGAUGAAGCUUGGACAGAAUGCAUGGAAGGGGAAAGUCCCUUGCAGCAGAAGACCUUCCAGAGGCAGUGGCAGGGCCACCACCAGAAGAAAAGGGCAAGGACACUCCCAGGGGAGAGGAGGAUCAGAGAGGAGGUUACAGGUCUAAGAGAUGUCACAGGUCUAGAAGAAAAGAAAAGGAGCCAGGUGCAGUGGCUCACACCUGUAAUCCCAGCACUUUGGGAGGCCCAGGCGGGCAGAUUGCUGAGUUCAGGAGUUUGAGACCAGCCUAGGCAAACAUGGUGAAACCCCAUCUCUAAAAAAAGAUUUAAAAAUUAACCAGGCCUGGUGGCAUGUACCUGAAGUCUCAUUUACUUGGGGGGCUAAGGCUGGAGGAUCGUUUGAACCCAAGAGGGUUCAUGGUGGGGAGCAUCAUGGUGAGGAGUCUCUGGGUCAGAGAGCUCCAAAGGACAGCAGCCAUUUGGGGUCUUUUGUAGCCCUGAGGUUCGUCUUACCUAUGGUGAGAGGGUGUCGGGUGUAGUUUUGCAAAUUAUCGAAGCAGGCAGGCUCUAAAUGGGCAAAUAAUAUUUGGCCUACAUUUAAAGCAAUUGGAUGUGCAAGAAUUUGAGUUUGGUGCUGGCAGGCUUGAGUUAACGGUCCUGGGCUGUGGUGUGGAAGUAAACAGCAUGGGGGCCAAUACACAGGGGCUGUCUUGAACUCGUUCAUACAAUCCAUUUAUAACCUGUUUAUAACUUGUUUAUAACCCAUUUAUACCACAUACCCCUAAAGCAAAUACCUAGCAGAUAGCAUGCAGGGCCUAUUUGCCUGGCCUCCUUCAAUGGCAUCACAUUCUCCACCACCACGAUGGUUAAUAUGGACGAGCCCUAGCAGCUGCCCAGUGAAGUCCACACGCUACUGCCCAAACCAGCUCAAGUCCUUAGUUGUCAUGAAAAUAAUGUGAGUUCCCACAGCCGUAAAAGGGAAAGCAGCAAGAGCCACAUGAGCAUCCCCGGAACCCUGGGAACAGUCAUCAGUGUCAUCUUCAGGGUCAUGUCCCUACAAGCAGUUCUCAGGCUCCUGCUGAGGGUCAGAACAGAGCCGAAGUCACAGGAUAUCAAAAAUGGAUAAGCCCAACCUCAGCUCGCAGAGGAAUUGCUCAGCUGACAGAUGAUUGUGUUAUCUCAGUGAAGCCAGAUGACAAUGUACUUGGCCAACGGAACAUCUUGGUCAAUGGAUCUCCAAGUUGGUUAUAAAAUUAAAGCAAAAUAAUGCCAUUAUAUGUAAGAUGUCAUUGAUUGUAAGAUGCUCCUUUAUUUGAUGUACCACUAAUAAAUAAAAACACUGACAUUUAAACAAUGACAAUUGCAUAACACAUCUGCUUGUUCAAUGUUAAAUAUGAAAAAAUGUGC